rnacentral:rRNA from 1 species
GGUUAAAAAUCUAAAGUAUUCCCUGCCCAAUGAUUAUUUAAAUGGCUGCAGUAUCUUGACUGUGCAAAGGUAGCAUAAUAAUUAGUCUUUUAAUUGAAGGCUUGAAUGAAUGGGUUAAUGAAAAAUUUAUUUUAUUAAUUUUAAUAUUUAAAUUUAAUUUUUAGGUAAAAAAGCUUAAGUUAUUUUUUGGGACGAUAAGACCCUAUAGAACUUUACUAUUUGAAUUAUUAACAAUUUUUUAAGAAUAAUAAAUAUUUAAUAUACAAAUUUUUUAGUUGGGGUGGUUAAUAAAUUUUACUUUAUUUUUAAAUUUCAUUAAUUUAUGAUUUUUUUGAUCCAGUUUUUUUGAUUAUAAGAUAAAGUUACCUUAGGGAUAACAGCGUUAUUUUAAUGGGGAGUUCAGAUCUAUAUUAAAGUUUGCGACCUCGAUGUUGAAUUAAGGUUAGACUAAGGGGUAG